rnacentral:rRNA from 1 species
AACGAACGCUGGCGGCGUGCCUAACACAUGCAAGUCGUGCGAGAAAGUUCCUUCGGGAGCGAGUAAAGCGGCGCACGGGUGAGUAACACGUAGGUAACCUGCCCCCCAGUCUGGAACAACUAGAGGAAACUCUAGCUAAUGCCGGAUGAGACCACGAUCCCUUCGGGGGUUGCGGCCAAAGAUGGCCUCUACUUGUAAGCUAUCGCUGAGGGAUGGGCCUGCGGGCCAUUAGCUUGUUGGUGAGGUAACGGCUCACCAAGGCUGUGAUGGCUAGCUGGUCUGAGAGGAUGACCAGCCACACUGGACUGAGACACGGCCCAGACUCCUACGGGAGGCAGCAGUGGGGAAUAUUGCGCAAUGGGCGAAAGCCUGACGCAGCGACGCCGCGUGGGUGAUGAA